UGCCGCACUGAUCUUUGUAGGCCCAAACACGCCUGAAAAUUAGCCCGAGACAGGCUGCAGCAGUGAUCUAAGAGCCCGGCGGGGGGAGGAGGAACCUUCGCAGACCCGCCCCCAUGGCCCUUAGGAAGCCCUCCAAAGGGGCUACAGCUUGUCUUCAAGCAAGUUUGUGCACCAGUUCAAGACCUUGGACAAGCCCAAGAGCACAUUCCAUGUUGACCUUCCUUGUCCCUCAUAUCCUAGAGACCUCAUAUAGGGGUGGUAUGGACAGUACAAGAGUACUUUGGGAAUACUGCUAAAGAGAGAGACAGGGAGUUUUGUUCCUCUUAAACAAGGAGCACACUACCUUUUGGCUCUCAUGUAGAACCUCCAUGUUCAAAGGUCGUCUAUACCACAAUACUAGUUUGUUGGCCCUGGAUGGAAAUGGUUUCUGGGAUUUCCUUGCUGCACUUCUUUGGAGCUUUCUGGAAGCAUGUAGCUGAGCACUGUGAGAAAGAAGGUGCUGGGCUGGAGUACACAUGCAUCUUCCAGCAGCAUUUUGAUAAGUGAACCUGCAAUUCUACAUACACACCUAGAAAGAAGUAAACUCUAUUAAAGUCAAUGGGACUGGA